rnacentral:lncRNA from 1 species
GCUGGAACAAGUUCAAAUGGAAUCAUUGAAGAAAGAUGACACUAUGGUCCCAAAAUGGUGGGAGGAAUAAAGAAAAAGCAUUAAUGCUAAAUUUGUGCAAUGAUACAUUAGUCAAAUCCUUGAACUAAAGGCAUAAAAGCAUGGUUUUGGAAACUUGAAACCGGACCGGGAAUUUACUGUUAUAUCGUUCCAAAAUAAGGGGGAGAAUCAGUUGAAUUGUAAAUCGCUUAUAAACUGUGGACCGAUAAAAAAUCAGUUAAACUAAUUUUUAUAUUUUUGGACCAAAUAAAAAACCUAGCCCAAAUCCAUUAAAAUUACUAAAAACCCCAAAUACCCAAUCCAACCCAAAAUAAAAAAUGAAUUAUAAAUAAACUAAAGUUACAAAAAUAACUAUAAAAUGGCUUAGAAAUGAAGGCCAUGGGUAAAUCUGCUUACAUUCUAGAAGUAAAAAUUACUCGAGAUCGUUCUGAAAUGUUAAUGUAAUAGGCCUAUUUUGCCCGGCCUAGGCCCAAUUUAAAAUUAAACUGUCCAAUUUAAAAUUACAAACCUAAAACUAAUGACCCAAAAUUAAAACCCACACCAGCCCAAAUUAACCCUAGCCUACUAAAACAUUUUCCAACAAAAAAAAAAGGAAGAAACCCUAGCCGUUCCCCUUUGACCAAGUCUUCUGCCACCGCCGCUCGGCUCGCCUGUCACCUGCCAUCGCGCGUUUCUCUGACACCACCUGCAAAUCAAGAUCUACACGCAAGCAACAGAGAAAAACAACGAGAAAACGACAAAAACAUAGAAAUAAACAGUUUGUAAUUUGGCUAUAAAGCCUGUCAAUCAUCUUGUUUUUUCUUCUCUUACGAACGCAUACAAGCAAAUCAAUGAAACAAAAACUGAAGUUUGAAAGGUUUUUUGUUAAUUCUUUUCUUUUAUUUUCUGUUUAUUAUUAUAUAUAUUGCGAAUCUAUUUUAAAAUAAACUAAAAGAAGGGAAAUAAAGAAACCUCACCUAAAUCCCCACGGACGUGUCGUCGGAGAGUCUUCUCCGUCGCUGCAAUCGGGUUCGACAGAGGGCUGAGGGUUCUUUUCUUUCGUUCUUAUAGGACGCUGAGGUUUUGGCCUUCAAAAAGGCUUCGAAAAAGGGUUGAAAUACCCAUUUUUGUGCGCCGCCGGCCGCCGGCCACCGAACACAGUGGUGGUGCGGCAGGCAGUGAGAAAUCGAUCGUCGGAAGAAGAUUAGAGGGAGGGAGAGUUGAGAAGGCUGCUUUGUUUUUUUUAAGUUUAGGGUUAAAAUGAGUUUUCUUUUUUAAAAAAAAUUUGAGCCUUUUAUUCAACAUUGAAACGGCGUCGUUUGGGUAAAGGAGAAGAGGUCUGUGCGCCUAAAAUGGGUGAUUUCCGUGGCCAGUCCUUCUCUUUUGCGCUGCUAUUGGAUUAGGCCCCUGUUCUUCUUUUUUAUUUUUUUAAAUCUGGCCCAGGAAUUUUAUGUCAAUUUCAUUCUAAGCUGCAUCUAAACGCUUCAUUUCGGGAUUUGGCUUAUUUUCAUUUCUAAUCCCCCCUCCUUUACGCGCAUUUCACUUUAGUCUCAAUCUAUUUAUCGAUUUAUUAUGAUUUAGACCCGAAAUUCUGUCUUAAUCCCGAUUUAAUCCUUUGCUUAAUUUUAACCCUUUUUAUGAAUCCAUUUUAUUUUAAUAUUAUUUAUUUAUCUAUUAUUACUAGCUUUCACUUUUUUCUAAAAUAUAUGUCGUGCAUACCUACAUUAUUAUAUUGUUAUCUUAUUUUCAUUAUAUUGUAUUCUUUUUUGUUUUCUUUUUUAUUUUAUUUAUUAUAAAUCUUUCAUAAUAUUUAUUUUGAACUGUUUUAUUAUUAUUUAUUUUAAGUUUUUUUAUAUAUGGUAUUUGUUUUAAAUUGUUUUAUCAUAUUAUUUAUUUUGAAAUUUUAUAUACAUUAUUUAUUUUAAACUUUUACGUACUUUAAAUUUAUAUACAUUAUGUAGUUUAAACUAUUUUAUAUAUUAUUUAUUUUAAACCUUUUAUAUUAAUUAUUUUAAACUGUUUUGCAUUGCUUAUUUUAAAUAUUUUUGUGUUAUUUUUUAACUAUUUUAUAUAUUACUUACUUUAAAUUUUUUAUGUAAUAUUUAUUUUAAACUAUUUUUUUAAUACAUGUCAUUUUGAAUUGUUUUAUUUAUAUAUUAAUUACUUCACAUUGUUUUUUUAUUUAUUUAUUUUAAAUUCUUUUUAUAUAUUAUUUUUUGAACUAUUUAUUAUUAUAAAUUCAUAUAAUGUUUAUUCUUAAACUUCCUUUUUAUGUGAAUUAUUUAUUUUCAAAUUUUUAUAUGUUGUUUAUCUUAAACUCUUUAUAUAUUUUUUAUAUACAUUAUUUAUGUUAAACUGUUUUUUAUUUUAUGUAUAUUAUUUAUUUAAUUUUUUUUACAUAUUAUUUAUUUUAGACUUUUUAUUAAUGAUUUUAAAUUGUUUUGUAUUAUUUACUUUAAAUUGCUUUUAUGGUAUUUAUUUUAAACCUUUUAUGUACAUAUUGUUUUAUUUAAAAUUAUCUUAUUAUUUGUUUUAAGCUGUUUUUUUUAUUAUUACUUCAUUUCUAUGUUUAUUAAGGUUGAUGUUAAAAAUGAUGUACGUCAUGUGAAUAUUGCCAUUACUUGUUAUUGAAAUUGUUUAUUUAGCAUCCUCAUAUUGUUGACACUCAUUAACCUUGCAUCUAAUUCGUGUAUUACUAUUCCAUGCUCUAUAAUACGUUUUAUUUUAUUUUAAAUCAUAUCAUGUGUUAAGCUCCAAUAUGUUUAUCAAAUAUGGAUCAUUUUAUUUUGCUCCAAACAAAAUAACGCACGUCGUUUAAAUAUUGUACCUGUUAUUAUUCAAAAAGAAAAAUUUCAAAAUACGACAAUGUUUUGCGUUUUGGAACAUCGAGGUAUUGUGUCCUAACUUACGAUGUUUCGAUUUUCUCGUUGAUCCUAAAUAGCCAAAUAUCCUUUCGAGUUUUAAAAUGCAUGGAAUUUCAAUAAAAAAUCAAAGACAAACUUAUUCUCGAUGGUUCAAAUGUCACAUCCUAACUUACGGGGUGUGGCAUAUCGUUAUCACGAGACGAGUGGACCUUUGAUGUUCCUUCGACUUAAUCCGAGUAUUUUUCUAAACGCAUUAAUAAAAAAGAUCGUAUUUCAAUCCAUUCUCGAUUUUUAACUUUCAACAUUAAGACAUUAACUAAUCAAUUCGGUGCCAAUUUUGGGCGUGACGAGGGUGCUAAUCUUUCAUCGCACGUAAUCGACUCCCGAACCUGUUCUUUCAAGUUUCGUAGACCAAAAACACCUUUUUAGUAAACUAAAAUGUUUUAUUAAAAUAAAGGUGAUCCGAUCACACCUAAUAAAGAUCGGUGGCGACUCCCGCUUUAAUCCUCGCUUUCAAACAAAGUCGAUACCCGCAUUUUUAAAAAAAUGGUUUCGACAGCUUGGCGACUCCGCUGGGGACCAAAAGAGAGUCAAGCCGUAAAUUGAUUAUUUUAUUUUUUUCGUCGAGAUUUGAAAAUUCGGUUUAAAAUAUGAUUCUUUCAUUGCAUAUUCAUCUAUCAUCUUUGUAAUCUUAGUUGAAAUAUAUGCUUUGUCGGUUCGAGUCUGUUAAUAUUUUUACAUAUAUUGUAAUAUCGUUCGAUCUACCCUUUAAGUAGGAGUGAGAAACUAUUCCUUCGUGAGGUCUUCACCUCCAUAUAGGAUAGUGGAUCGCUUUUGGGAUACAUUCGUACCUACGUCUUCGUGAGAUUUCCAUCUCCGUAUAGUAGUAGGGAAAUGUAUUCCCCUGAACCGAACUCGAUCCGUAUGAGCCUAUAAUGGGUGAGGAUCGAGGAAUCUGCCAGUUCAGGUACCCUUACUCUAGAAUCGAACCACAUAUAGAGAGACCUAAGAGCCUACCCUAGGUAGAGCCACGCCAAACCCUAGUGGUCACCCAGAUAGGUGUCCUAUUUUAUUGUUUAUUUCUUCUACACUGACGUAUUUUGUUUUGUUUUGUCUAUGAUUGCAUUGCAUUACAUCAUCAUAGAAAGAAGGUGUUGAUUCACAUUCGAUUGCUAAAUAGAAGAGCUUGUCAUGAAAAAAUAGAUUUCUUGAUAAAGUGGAAUAUAAUACGGCAAUUCGAAUAUGGUCCGAGUAAACAACAAGAUAAGGCUGAUAAUUCAUGAAGGAAUACACGACUUUGCUUCAUCGCCUAAGGAUUCAAGCCAACAAAGAUUAUUCGAGAGCCUUCAUGUCCUAAAGAAACUGACAAGCAUCGCGAGGAUAAGUGAGCAAUGAGUCGCAACCUGGAUCGAGCAAAAAGAAGCUAGUAGAAGCACUCAUUGAAAAGUUCGCCAAAUUUGAUCUUAACCGCUGGAUAUGAAGAAAGGGAUCAGUGUCUUCGCUUGGAAUAUGAGGGCAAGGCUGCAUAUGUAAUCCGUUUUAUGUAAAGGAAUUUGUUUUCUAGAAAAUUUGUUCUAAUGGAAUUGAAUUCAGAAUCAACGCCUUUCUUUCUUUUGCAUUCGUUCCAUGCAUUUGCAUUGCAUUGCAUUGCAUCAUUUGCAUUAAACUUUCACUAAAAGACCCUAAUUAGGUAAAAUUAUUUCAACUAACUUAGGAACCGACAAAAGUCUACUGAACUGAGCAUCGUUACGGUACUUGCGCAAGAAUAAAGCCAUGGACCAAAGAUUGGAGAGAAUAGAGCAAAUGCAAAUACAGAUGCAAGAGCAAUUGACUAAGAUUCAACAAGAUAUGCGGGAACACAUGCUAGAAUUCCAAAGAAAUAUGAUGGGCCAGUUAACCCAGUUAUUAGCUGGAGAACAUAAGAAAAUGAGUGGCCUAGUGGUCAAUAGUAGGAAUGAUAAUAAAGACCUCAUAAGCGUCCUGACCCAACCAGGCACGCAUCCGCAGGGGGUACCCGUUAUUAUUGGACUCCAAUAUCAGACGGAUACCUCGACACUGUUGAACUUCUCGAUGGGUUCAGGUUUUAACUCGAAGGAUGAUCGAGCCAAACUGGUUGUUCUAGCGGAAACAAAGGAAAAGGGAGAGUGGACUCUAAAAACCCUAAAGAAAAAGGAAAAGGAAGCGAAUAGUACGAGUAGGUAUAACAAGGGCCAUUCGGACUGAUUACAGUAAGCCAGCCAAGGAUGGUAACUGCCAACCAUCGGUCUCUCCAAGGCAAGAACCCAAUCGAAGACUGAACUCUGAAAAACCCCAGUUUGCGCCCAUCCCAAUCACGUAUAGGGAGUUGUACCAAGUUUUGUUUGACGCACAUGCUAUAUCCCCUUUUUACGUGGAACCAAUACAGCCUCCAUACCCUAAAUGGUACGAUGUAAGUGGCCAAUGCAAAUACCAUGCGGGAAUCACAGGGCAUUCAAUCGAGAACUGUACCGCUUUUAAUAAGUUAAUCGAAAGAUUCAUCAAAAUGGGUAUUAUAAAAUUCGAUGAUCCCUCUGGCGUAGAAAAUCCGUUACCUAACCUUUCUAUUAAAUGGGUAAAUAUUGUGAGUUCCAUGAUGGAUAGGGGCGUGAGAUCCAAGAAUGCAUCGAGUUCAGGACUCUCGUGCAAAACCUGAUAUUGGGGAAUCUGAAUAUAAAUGACAUAUUCGAAGAAGGAACCGGGGAAUAGACUUUUCCAAGCUUCUACCCUUACGCACUUAGGGUGUUUUGAACAAUGGGACUGUGGAAAAGAUCCUUGUAUUUUUAAAGCUAAUUUAAAGUAAUGUUCAGAACACGCCUAUUGCUCUUAGCUUAGGAGCAAUGAGAGGCCUUUUGUGAAAUAGGCUUAUGUCCAAAAUUUUCAUUUUAAUAAAACUCAUCUUUGCUAUCAUUUUGAGCAAAUAUUCUUUAUUUUUUCCAUUUCAUUUAGAUAAUUAUUCUUAGAUUCUUUCGUUCUUUGUAUUUUAUCUCAAAUAUUCUUUUAUUCUUCAUUCAUGAUCAUACCAUACAAAUAAUCAUCCUUAGAAUUAUUUUUUCUUUGGAAUCUGCCUUCGUACCUACAACAAGUCCCCAGAUAUCAAUGGCAUGAGCAACGCUAUCAUUGACUCCGAGUCUCCUUUUAAGCAAGAUAUGUGUCUAAAGGGGUCUCAGGACCUUGAAGAUGAUAAAGAUUGUAGUCUAUCUCCUGAUUUGUCAAGGAUGGUAAAACAAGAUGAAAAAUAGAUCCUACUAUGCAAAGGGUCAGUGGCAUUGCGAGCCUAAGAAAGAAGUGAAGAUCAAAGCCUAGCUCACCACAAAGACAAAGCGAGACAUCAUUGAGUUAUUUCCAUUUCAAAGAUGUUUUCGCAUGAUCGUAUCAAGAUAUGCCUAAGCUACUAAGACAUGAAGAUGCUAUGGGGUGUUCAAAAAGCACAUGAUAAUGGUUUUUCGAUGGCUAGGCUAAUCAUGAGGUUUGGGUACUGUUGGUCCACCGUGGAAGGGGAUUGCAUCAGUUAUGCCAUAAACGCCGGAUUGAGAAAGACAAGACUUUUGUACCUCCUCCAUUUCUUCACAAAUUUUUACAUGUAGGGCCUAGAUGUUAUAGGGCUGAUCUCAUCAAAAGCUUCUGGCCAACGCCGAUUCAUCCUUGUAGUCGUCGAUUACUUUACUAAGAGGGUGAAGGUAGCUUCAUAUGCCAAUGUUACAAGGUUGACAGUUAUCAAAUUUAAAAAAUAAAAAUAAAAAAAGAGGAAAAGAUAUAAAUUGCCGACAAAGAAUGCCAAAAAAAGAUCAUGUCUAACAAUGCACAACCUCACAAAGAAAAAAUUUUACAGUCAGACGCCAUAUCACAGUGCAGCAAAGGCAGCAAAAAAAUCGUGGAAGAUAACCGAAACUUGUAAAGAUUGGCAUAAGAAGUCACCAUUCACUCUCUAUACUUAUCAAAAGUCGGCCAAGACCUUCGUCGGGGCAAUACAUUUCUCAUUAAUUUAUGAAAUGGAAGCGGUUUUGCCCAUUGAAGUCGAGAUUCCUUUUCUCUGAGUCUUGUCAGAGCCGAAGUUAGAUGAAGCCAAAUAGAUUCAAUUCUGAUGAGAUCAAUUGAAUUUGAUCGAAGAAAUGAGGUUGAAAUCUAUCCACCAUGAGCAAAUGUACCAAAAACAAAUAACAAAAAGGUUUACCUCAAAAGGGAAACCUAGUAUUGAAAAAUGUCUUUCCUAUACAAAAAGGACUUCAAAGGAAAGUGUACACCAAACUGGAAAGGACCUUAUAUGGUAAAAAGGCCUCCUCUAGAAGAGCAUCGAUACUGACCAAGGUGAUGGCAAGAACCUGCAUAAUCUUGUGAAUUCGAAUUCAAUCAAAAAAUACUUCACAAAAAAAAGAGAAAAAGGAGAGGCCGAGGCGAAAACCCGCAAAAGGGCACUUUGGACCAAAAGGGAUUUGAGUUGAAAACCCAAAAAAGGCGGUUCGAAUGUGGAUCAAAGCGGGGCAUACAGUAUUCUUUCUAUAUCUAAAUUAACAAUAAAGAAAUAUGCUACGUCUUGGGGCAUCGACAAAGUACUCCGGAUCCCUUAAACACAGAUUGAGCUCAAAAUGAUCUUCAAGAAGUUGGUACAAAAAAGCUCAAGCUGCGAUAUCUGAGGCACCUAGUUUCCUAUUUUACCCAUUUUGAAUUUUCUUUUUUUGAUUACCUUAUUCUUUUCAAGGUACGCUUCCGAUAAAUUCCCUUUUUAAUUACAUUUGCUAUCAUUGGUUAACUUAUUUGUUUCAAGCUAUGCUCUCAAUUAAUUUUCUUCUUGUCCAUUGUUACAGUCUUUUUCAAGCAUUUCGCAUUGAAAUAACGAUUAGUGGACUAAUAACACUUUCAUAAAAGGAGUUUUGCAUAUUACUUUGAAAGCUUCUAAAUAAUACAAGAACUUGAAACAAGACUAUUAUUUAUAACUCACCAAGCCUAAUGGUUGGAAAUAUUGGAGAAAGAUGAUUAUCUCUUUAGACUUUUUAUUGGUUAAAAAAAAAAGACAAGACAUUUCGUCGGUGAUAUAACCUCGACAAAUAACGAGCAAUGUCAACCCAAGUGUAAAAGGGGACCAUUCUCGGGAAAAGAAAAAUGAUAUUCUGUAUUCAUACAAAUAUCAGACAUAUACAUCUGGUCAUUACACCUAGGGAAUAGUGUAACAAAUCAAAUUGAUUGAAGAUGAUACAAAUCCUAUACCUCUGAAUUGCAGCAGGAUGGAUGGAUGAAACCAAAUGUUAUUCCCCUAAAGAUGUAAUGGGAGGUACAAACCUUAUGUCCCAGAAGGUAUAGUGGAAGGGACUCUGAAAUUACAGCGGGGAAAGCUUGCUGAGUAGAACAUGAUUGUUUCUCUGAGUUUUCUGUCAAGAAUACCAGCCGAAUAAGAGGGCAGCAUAAUACGUCAGCGAUAAAGUCCUGAUGAACUAUGAAUAAUGACACCUUAAGCACCUAAAAAGAAAUCAUUCUCAUGACAAUUCUGCAUUCAUAUCAUUCAUCUAGUUAGGAGCAUUUGACUCAUUCUGAUCAUGGCAUCCUAAUUAUUUGUCAUAAAUGUAGGCCUAUGAAACCAAUUCUACAGAUCAUGUCCCUAGAGAAUGGUGUAGCAAUAUUGUUGAGUUCACAGAUCUUGUCGCCCUGAAGUUGCUGUGGAACAGAUCAAAGACGGCAAAUCUUGUCUCCCUAACCAGUAGUGGAACAGAUUUAAGUCACCAUCCUAUCUCUCUAAAGCAGUACUAGAGUAGGCUGAAUAUUACAGAUCUUAUCUCCCUAAGCAGUUGUGGAGCAGAUCGAAGAUGGCGAAUCUUGUCUCCCUAACCAAUAGUGGAGCAGAUUUAAGCCACCAUCCUAUCUCCCUAAGCAGUAGUGGAGUAGGUUGAAAUCAACAAUUUGUUUCUCCUUGAAGUUCCAGCAGAGUAGAUCGAAGCUACAAAUCUCUUCUCCCUGAAAUGGCAUUGGAGCGUCUCGAAGCCACAAUUUUUAUCUCCUUGAAGUUUCAGCGGAGUAGAUUGAAGCUACAAAUCUCUUCUCCCUGAAAUUACAAUGGAACAGAUUGAAGGUAUAAAUAACAGAUCUUAUCUCUCUGAAGUUGCAGUAGAGCAGAUCAUAGUAAACCUUAUCUCCCUGAAGUUGCAGUGGAGUGGGUUGAAGUUACAAGUCUUGUCUCCCUAAAGUUGCAAUGGAGCAGACUGAAGAUAGCGAAUCUUAUCUCAUUGAAGUUGCAGUGGAGCAGAUUGAAGCUACAAAUCACAAAUCUUAUCUCCCUGAAGUUGCAGUGGAGUAAACUGAAGAUAGCAAAUCUUAUCUCCCUGAAGUUACAGUAGGGCAGAUUGAAGCUACAAACCACAAACCUUAUCUUCCUAAAGUUGCAGUAGAGCAGGUUGAAGUUACAAAUCUUAUCUCUCUGAAUUUACAGUGGAGCAGACUGAAGAUAGUGAAUCUUAUCUCCCUAAAGUUGCAGUGGGGCAGAUUGAAGCUACAAACCACAAACCUUAUCCCCCUGAAGUUACAGUGGAGCAGGUUGAAGUUACAAGUCUUAUCUCCUAGAAUUUGCAGUGGAGCAGACUGAAAAUAGUGAAUCUUAUCUCCCCGAAGUUGCAGUGGAAUGGACUGAAGCAACAAUUCCUAUACCCCUGAGGAUACAGUGGAUUGGAAUGAGGUUACUUGAAGAAGAAGAAAGGAAGCGCUGAGACUCAGUAGAUCUAGGCAAAAUUGGCUAUUUUAUAGUCUUUACUUUAUUCCCGUUGCACGGCAAUAAGCAAAGAGGGGCAGCUGUAAUAAGCCUAUUUUGCCCAGCCCGGGCCCAAUUUAAAAUUAAACUGUCCAGUUUAAAAUUACAAACCCAAAACCAAAAUUACAAACCCAAAACUAAUGAUCCAAAAUUAAAACCCACACCAGCCCAAAUUAACCCUAGCCCACUAAAACAUUUUCCAGCAAAAAAAGAAGGGAAGAAACCCUAAUCGUUCCCCCUUUGACCAGCGCCUCUGCCACCACCGCUCGGCUCGCCUGUCACCUGCCAUCGCGCGUUUCUCUGACACCACCUGCAAAUCAAGAUCUACACGCAAGAAACAGAGAAAAACAACGAGAAAACGACAAAAACAUAGAAAUAAACAG